AUUGAACGCUGGCGGCAGGCCUAACACAUGCAAGUCGAGCGGAUGAAGGGAGCUUGCUCCUGGAUUCAGCGGCGGACGGGUGAGUAAUGCCUAGGAAUCUGCAUGGUAGUGGGGGAUAACGUCCGGAAACGGGCGCUAAUACCGCAUACGUCCUGAGGGAGGAAGUGGGGGAUCUUCGGACCUCACGCUAUCAGAUGAGCCUAGGUCGGAUUAGCUAGUUGGUGGGGUAAAGGCCUACCAAGGCGACGAUCCGUAACUGGUCUGAGAGGAUGAUCAGUCACACUGGAACUGAGACACGGUCCAGACUCCUACGGGAGGCAGCAGUGGGGAAUAUUGGACAAUGGGCGAAAGCCUGAUCCAGCCAUGCCGCGUGUGUGAAGAAGGUCUUCGGGUUGUAAAGCACUUUAAGUUGGGAGGAAGGGCAGUAAGUUAAUACCUUGCUGUUUUGACGUUACCAGCAGAAGAAGCACCGGCUAGCUUCGUG
rnacentral:rRNA from 1 species